rnacentral:tRNA from 1 species
UGGAAUGUAGCUCAGUUGGAAGAGCGGAGGACGCAUAGUCCUUGACACCGCAGGUUCGAGCCCUGCCUUUCCAA